GAAUGAUUACACAGUAAACAUUUUAAUUAAUGUAAAAAAAACAAGAAUUAGGUGCACAAGUUGGAAUUUAUUUUGGAGAAAGUGUACAUAUGGGCUCAAAAUAAAUAUAUACACUCACACAAGGCUCUACAGUGUUUUAUAACUUGACAAGGCCAAGGCCUGUUAACGACUCAUUGCUGAUUAUGAAUGACUAUAACUUGUAGUUUCUCUUUGCCAGCAUAAAAAGGAUUUGUCUGACAGCACUCACUGGAUUGGCCAAUAUUUACCAGGAAACUGGUUAGCCUGUUCAGCAACAACCUAAUAACCACCAAGGCUCAAUACUGCAACAAAGUGGAAACUGCUGGAUCACCGGCAUCACUGUCCACAGUGAAGUGAGUUUCACAUAGCCACAGGCUGAGCGGUUAUCCACCAAGAAAGAAGCUCCUGCUCCGAAACUGAAAGCUUCAAGCUUGACUGAAAUUUGCAGCUGCCCACAAGGACAAGCCAAAUGACUUCUGGAGAAAAUGUUUUACGAGAGUGAAGUAAAGUUCUGGAAGAGUUCCCGCUGCUGCUGCAUUGAUACUCCAGUGGAGGGGCCUGCAGAGGAGAGCAGUGAGCCUGCAGCCUGCCCACGUUAUCUCGCACCCAUGAAACGUCUCCACUCUACCUGCUGUGACCUUGCACCAAACCUUACCUACCUGUACGGGUUUAAUAAUGGAGGCGUGAAUAAUCCACAUCAGUAAUCACU